UACGAAGGGGGCUAGCGUUGCUCGGAAUUACUGGGCGUAAAGCGCACGUAGGCGGCUUUGUAAGUUAGAGGUGAAAAGCCUGGAGCUCAACUCCAGAAUUGCCUUUAAGACUGCAUCGCUUGAAUCCAGGAGAGGUGAGUGGAAUUCCGAGUGUAGAGGUGAAAAUUCGUAGAUAUUCGGAAGAACACCAGUGGCGAAGGCGGCUCACUGAGCUGGUAUUGACGCUGAGGAGCGAAAAGCAUGGGGAGCGAACAGG
rnacentral:rRNA from 1 species